rfam:Pyrenophora tritici-repentis Pt-1C-BFP supercont1.6 genomic scaffold, whole genome shotgun sequence.
GGUUUUGUAGUGUAGCGGUUAUCACUCCGGAUUCUGAUCACAGUAUUAGAAGUUUUCCGGCAACCCCGGUUCGAUUCCGGGCAAGACCU